CUUGGAGUGGGAAAAAGUCUCCUGUUGCCAUUUUUUUAGACAUGACAGCAGCUGUUAAGACAGUUGAUUCCCCAUAACGGACAACGGUUGCUCCAUUUGCUUGUUUUGCCACUUGGCCAACUUCAACAACUAAUGGUUUGCCAGCAAAGGUUGUGCUAAAGGUUUGUUUUGACAUAAAAUCAUUUCCUUAGAAGAAUGACAUCUUCAGUCAUUCUUUCCUUUCAAAAAGUUUUUCGGUAUUUUUCGGUAUACGAUGUUUUCCUACAAAGAGCAACCUAAGAAAUGGUCUUAAACUCCUCUUUGUAUCAAAC
rnacentral:antisense_RNA from 1 species